rnacentral:rRNA from 1 species
CCUUGUACACACCGCCCGUCACACCAUGGGAGUUGGUUCCACCUUAAGACGGUGCGCUAACCGCAAGGAGGCAGCCGGCCACGGUAGGGUCAGCGACUGGGGUG